UAAUUUUAAUUUAAUGAUUUUAAAGAUUUUCGCUGUUAAAUUUCGUAAUAUUAAUUUCGUAAAUAUUCUAGAGAGAAACCUGAAUUCUGUAAGUAUACCAAACAACGUUCGACUCACCGCUAUCCCGUCAACCAAUGCCGCGCGUUUAAUCAGGAGUUUCGUUGAACCGCGUUAAAAAAAUCUCCAUUAACGACACCUCGUCGCCUUUGUUCCCGUCAUGCGUUAUUCUUUACGAAAGUAUAUUCGGAAUCCUGUCAUUUCUUGAACGAGAACUUUUGCCGCCAGAGAUUCUCGCGAUUAUCGAUACGAAUUUGGCGUCGUCACGUCCGCGAGCGCUAACCUCUUUGCACGCAGUCGCGAAUUACCGCUCGCUCUCUCGGGUGACCACGUGAAGCGAGACGAACGCGCGCACGAUAAGUUAACGUUACGGGCGAGGCCGCGACGAUGUACGCUUUGCGCGCACGUGCGGUUUGUUCUUCGAGCGAAACUCGCGAAACAAAGGCGAUCGCCGAUACGGCUCGUCGCGAGAUACAAAAAUACUAAUUGCCAACUUAUAAAUCGCUUGAAACGCGUCACGUGACGCGCGUUGCGAUGUGUCACGUGACCAACCCGCGCGGAAGGCUCGAAUUCCGUUCUCGCGUGUCCGCGGAACCCGCGACGGUGUCGCGGAAAUGGCGUGAAUCUUCAGACAGACUCUGGUAUUCGAAGAUUUUCCUAAACGUCGCUGCUUCUCGAGCCGCAUGCGGCAGUUUCAACGUCGAGAAAAUAAAUUAUAUUAAAAUGUAACACCUUGUAUAACACCUCAGAAAAUCUGCAGAACGACAAACAAUGAUGCGAUAAUACGACAUACGAUAUUAUGCAAUGUAUUGUAUAAAUAUAUUAAAUGCUCAAAUGGAACUUAA